AGAGUUUGAUCCUGGCUCAGGAUGAACGCUGGCGGCGUGCUUAACACAUGCAAGUCGAACGAUCCUUCGGGAUAGUGGCGGACGGGUGAGUAACGCGUGGGAAUCUGCCCUCAGGAGGGGGAUAACGGCUGGAAACGGCCGCUAAUACCCCAUAUGCCGAGAGGUGAAAUGAAUUUCGCCUGAGGAUGAGCCCGCGUCUGAUUAGCUAGUUGGUGGGGUAAAGGCCUACCAAGGCAACGAUCAGUAGCUGGUCUGAGAGGAUGAUCAGCCACACUGGGACUGAGACACGGCCCAGACUCCUACGGGAGGCAGCAGUGGGGAAUUUUCCGCAAUGGGCGAAAGCCUGACGGAGCAACGCCGCGUGAGGGAUGAAGGCCUCUGGGCUGUAAACCUCUUUUCUCAAGGAAGAAGACCUGACGGUACUUGAGGAAUAAGCCACGGCUAAUUCCGUGCCAGCAGCCGCGGUAAUACGGGAGUGGCAAGCGUUAUCCGGAAUUAUUGGGCGUAAAGCGUCCGCAGGCGGCCUUGUAAGUCUGUUGUUAAAGCGUGGAGCUCAACUCCAUUUAAGCAAUGGAAACUACAAGGCUGGAGUGUGGUAGGGGCAGAGGGAAUUCCCGGUGUAGCGGUGAAAUGCGUAGAUAUCGGGAAGAACACCAGUGGCGAAGGCGCUCUGCUGGGCCAUAACUGACGCUCAUGGACGAAAGCCAGGGGAGCGAAAGGGAUUAGAUACCCCUGUAGUCCUGGCCGUAAACGAUGAACACUAGGUGUCGGGGGAAUCGACCCCCUCGGUGUCGUAGCCAACGCGUUAAGUGUUCCGCCUGGGGAGUACGCACGCAAGUGUGAAACUCAAAGGAAUUGACGGGGGCCCGCACAAGCGGUGGAGUAUGUGGUUUAAUUCGAUGCAACGCGAAGAACCUUACCAGGGUUUGACAUCCUGCGAACCCCCGAGAAAUCGGGGGGUGCCUUCGGGAGCGCAGAGACAGGUGGUGCAUGGCUGUCGUCAGCUCGUGUCGUGAGAUGUUGGGUUAAGUCCCGCAACGAGCGCAACCCACGUCUUUAGUUGCCAGCAUUCAGUUGGGCACUCUAGAGAGACCGCCGGUGAUAAACCGGAGGAAGGUGUGGAUGACGUCAUGUCAUCAUGCCCCUUACAUCCUGGGCUACACACGUACUACAAUGCUACGGACAAAGGGCAGCAAGCUCGCGAGAGUUAGCAAAUCCCAUAAACCGUGGCUCAGUUCAGAUCGUAGGCUGCAACUCGCCUACGUGAAGGAGGAAUCGCUAGUAAUCGCAGGUCAGCAUACUGCGGUGAAUACGUUCCCGGGCCUUGUACC
rnacentral:rRNA from 1 species